AUCUAAUCAAGAUUUAGAUGACUUUCAAGUUUCAACAGCAUACAUAAAGAUAACGUAACGAAAGAGAUACCUCGAACAGACUCCACCGCAGCAUCUAGAACAAGGUUCAGCAACUGAUCGUAGCCUUUAAGAGUUCCAGUGACUGCCAAACACAAGCAUCAAAACUCAAAAGCAAGAAUCAUAUAAAAAAAGCUCUGUUCUUUACCUUGUCUACCACCAGUCAGCUUAACUUGCACGCCCUUAUCCACAAACUUAGCCAAAUCCAACACCGUUUCCUUUCUUCCUGACUGUAAUAAGAAAAACAGAGCAAAUCAAACACUGAACUGAAUGAAUUGACUCGAAUCAUAAAUAAAAAUGAAAACUUUAACUCAUAACUUACCAUGUUAGAGCAAAGCCCUCGAAAUAGAAUCCCCAAAAAAAAAAAACCUAAAAAAAUCAUUUUGAUUCAGAACAGAGUCAUCGUAUGCUUAUACUUCAUGUUAGACAAACCCCAUGAGAUUGAUGAAGUAAACUCACCGGGGAGACAAAGAUCUCUCAAGAUCGAAGCGAAACAGUGAAGACCCCAGAAAACUUUGGCGAAGAGAUGAUUUUGUUUUGUCAGAGAAGAUCGGGAGAAUCUAUAGCGAGUUGAGAACUCCGGUUUAAAUCUCUAACCAUGGUUUGAUUAUUGGUUUCUCAAUUUCAGUUUUAAUUUCGGUUCGGUUUGAAAUGUAUGACGUUAGCUUAACCGGGUUGGGUAUCUCUAUUAUUAAUUAUCAGAAGAAAAAAAAAAUGAUUUCACCAUCAAGUUUUAAAAAUAGAUUCGGUUUCUUAGCAAAAUAAAGGAUUUUUCAAAUAUAUAUGUUUGACAAAAUAUUUUUUCAUCAGUUUAUAUCAUUUUACUUUGGUUCGGUUUGGUUUGGUUUAGUUAUACCAUUCUGAAUAUGAAAACUAAAAGAGUCGAUUGACUUCACAUGCAGCAUAUCGGUAAAGAAUCGAGACUGUACAAGAAAAAUAAAACAAGAGAAAGAUAUAUUUAUACAUAUGUUAGAAUUAAAGUCUAGCUAGUUCUCAGUUUCUCGAAGGAUCCUUAACCAAGCAAACCAACCAACAACGCCAAUGGAAAGACUAAAUACGAUAUGAAGGAUAUUAAAUGUUAAGGAAAAUGAAGUAUUAUGUAAAUCUGCAAUAGUCACGGCUUUACAUGAAUCGCAAUCGAAGCAUAAUGUGUUUGCCGUAUUGUUCCAUGUCUUGCAAUCAUCUUCAACGUUGUUAUGAUAUCUUGACAUUGUCCAAAUGUUUGGUUUCACGUAAGUUAAUCCACAUGAAAGCGGUGGUUUGCAGCAACCCGACUGUUAAAAUAAAAUAAAGUAUAUUAGAAUGAAAUAAAAAAAAAACUAUAAUAUAAACAGUAUAUAUGUAGAUCAUAUGUGCGUACGUAUUUAGUUACCUGUAUAGGAGUUAGAUUCAUCUGACGAAACUCAGAAGCCGACAUGUUUUGGUUAGAGAAUAGUUUGUUACAAACAUUGCCCUUAACAAGACAUCUCCUAGUACGAUACCAUUCAUCGUCUUUGAUGACCAAUCUACGUACCCAUCCCGAGUAAUCCUCCAACCUAAACUCAUGUAUCUUCGUCCCAGGGUACAGCCUAGGAUCGGUCUCGUUAUUGAGACGGUAAACGAAAACGGCUUUAGCCACGACCACGAACAUCCACAAGAAGAAGAUGAAGAAGUGGAUUCGGAAGAGACAAUCGGAUUUGUAGUAAGCGGCAUAGAAGCCUGCGAGAGUCAUGAAUAGCAAUGAGAAGCUCACGAAGAUUCCGGGAGUUGUCACGAACCGGUUACAUUCAUCCGUCUUGUAAUGUAACAUUGAGACGGUCACAAACCAGAAAGCUGAUGUGGCUAGGAAAAUCGAGUUUGCGAUCAAGAAAAUUGUGUUGAAUGGAAAUGAGAUGUUCUUGAAACAUGAUAAAGGUGAAGGGUUUUCUUCGUUUUGUUCUUCUUUAUCUUUCGCCAUUAUGUGGUGUUAUUGUUGAAAAUAAGUCAAUGGAUCAUCAUGAUCUGGUCAAACAUUAGACAAAUGUUAUAAUACUACCAUAUAAAUCACAGAAACCAAGAAGACAACACACAACUCUAGUUUCAACAUGGAUGUGAUGUAUACUAUCCCUUUUUAUAUCACCUAGGCAAAUAGAAACCCCUCUCUUCCCAGCAUAUCUAAUCAAGAUUUAGAUGACUUUCAAGUUUCAACAGCAUACAUAAAGAUAACGUAACGAAAGAGAUACCUCGAACAGACUCCACCGCAGCAUCUAGAACAAGGUUCAGCAACUGAUCGUAGCCUUUAAGAGUUCCAGUGACUGCCAAACACAAGCAUCAAAACUCAAAAGCAAGAAUCAUAUAAAAAAAGCUCUGUUCUUUACCUU
rnacentral:lncRNA from 1 species